rnacentral:rRNA from 1 species
AACGCGAAGAACCUUACCUACCCUUGACAUGGCAGGAAUCCCCGAGAGAUUGGGGAGUGCUCGAAAGAGAACCUGCACACAGGUGCUGCAUGGCUGUCGUCAGCUCGUGUCGUGAGAUGUUGGGUUAAGUCCCGCAACGAGCGCAACCCUUGUCAUUAGUUGCUACGAAAGGGCACUCUAAUGAGACUGCCGGUGACAAACCGGAGGAAGGUGGGGAUGACGUCAAGUCCUCAUGGCCCUUAUGGGUAGGGCUUCACACGUCAUACAAUGGUACAUACAGAGGGCCGCCAACCCGCGAGGGGGAGCUAAUCCCAGAAAGUGUAUCGUAGUCCGGAUUGUAGUCUGCAACUCGACUGCAUGAAGUUGGAAUCGCUAGUAAUCGCGGAUCAGCAUGUCGCGGUGAAUACGUUCCCGGGUCUUGUACACACGC